rnacentral:rRNA from 1 species
AUUGAACGCUGGCGGCAGGCCUAACACAUGCAAGUCGAGCGAGCGGCGGACGGGUGUGUAAUGUAUGGGGAUCUGCCCGAUAGAGGGGGAUAACUACUGGAAACGGUGGCUAAUACCGCAUACUAUCGGAUGAACCCAUAUGGGAUGAGCUUGUAGGUGGGGUAACGGCUCACUUAGGCGACGAUCUCUAGCUGGUCGGAGAGGAUGACCAGCCACACGGGAACUGAGACACGGCCCAGACUCCUACGGGAGGCAGCAGUGGGGAAUAUUGCACAAUGGGCGCAAGCCUGAUGCAGCCAUGCCGCGUGUAUGAAGAAGGCCUUCGGGUUGUAAAGUACUUUCAGCGGGGAGGCGUUACCCGCAGAAGAAGCACCGGCUAACUCCGUGCCAGCAGCCGCGGUAAUUC